UUGAACGCUGGCGGCAUGCCUUACCCCUGCAAGUCGAACGGUAACAGGUCUUCGGAUGCUGACGAGUGGCGAACGGGUGAGUAAUACAUCGGAACGUGCCCGAUCGUGGGGGAUAACGAGGCGAAAGCUUUGCUAAUACCGCAUACGAUCUACGGAUGAAAGCGGGGGAUCUUCGGACCUCGCGCGGACGGAGCGGCCGAUGGCAGAUUAGGUAGUUGGUGGGAUAAAAGCUUACCAAGCCGACGAUCUGUAGCUGGUCUGAGAGGAUGAUCAGCCACACUGGGACUGAGACACGGCCCAGACUCCUACGGGAGGCAGCAGUGGGGAAUUUUGGACAAUGGGCGAAAGCCUGAUCCAGCCAUGCCGCGUGCAGGAUGAAGGCCUUUGGGUUGUAAACUACUUUUGUACGGAACGAAAAGCCUCUUUCUAAUAAAGAGGGGUCAUGACGGUACCGUAAGAAUAAGCACCGGCUAACUACGUG
rnacentral:rRNA from 1 species